CUUUGUGUCUGGACGAUCCUGGAGCGGAGAGGACUCCUGGGAGGCUUAGUGAGGAGUUGCGGAGCCCCGGGACGCGGACGGUGCCCAGAGAACAAGGAAAGUUUGACUAUUGGAUAAAAGAGUUUUACUCGAGAAAGAAGUCUUAAGAAGUGACCACUUCUGGAAGAGAGGGAACGCAACAUAAAAAGAAAAGGCAUGCCUUGGAAACUGAUGGUAAAAGGAAAGUAUCAAGUGGUGGAAACUAAGUGCCCUAAGAGAUAUUGCAGAAUCAGAAGACAUGGAAUCUGUAAAGUGAAAAAUUUGGCCUUGUCCAAAGAGAGAUUGGCCUUUUCUGUAGGCUUUUAGAAAGUAAUUUCUGGCUUUUGAAGUAUGAUGCCUGAGAAGAAUUUUUGUUUGCAUGGGGGCCAUGGGCUAUACUGCAUAAUCUAAAAAUUCAGUCUAAGGUAGUGGCUGACCACACUUGUAUAGUCUUAGGAUAAAGACUGUUCAUGCCAGAAUGACCGAGGGCAGGAGCUUUUGGUCACAUGGUAUCAGUCAACUUGGAGACUGUGAUCAAAUAUUUGGUCAGUAACCAACGAUGUCCAUAUAAACUCCAAAAAAUUGAGGCUUCAGUAAGCUUCCUCGGUUGGCAGUACUCCAUGCAUAUUGUCACACAUUGAUGCCAGGAGAAUAAGGCAUCCUGACUCUAUAGGGAGAAGUUUACAGAAGCUUCAGUUUUGGUAUUUUUCCUGGACUCUGCCCUAUAUACUUCUUCCCUUAGGUGAUUUUAAUCUGUAUCCUUUUUCUGUAAUAAAGUAUAAUUGUGAAUAUA